GCCCGGAUGGAGAAAUUGGUAAACUCGCUGGACUUAAAAUCCAGUGUCCGUAAGGACUUGAGGGUUCGAGUCCCUCUCUGGGCA
rnacentral:tRNA from 1 species